CUACGGGAGGCAGCAGUGAGGAAUAUUGGACAAUGGGCGCAAGCCUGAUCCAGCCAUGCCGCGUGCAGGAAGACGCAUCUAUGGUGUGUAAACUGCUUUUGUACAGGAAGAAACACUCCCUCGUGAGGGAGCUUGACGGUACUGUAAGAAUAAGGAUCGGCUAACUCCGUGCCAGCAGCCGCGGUAAUACGGAGGAUCCAAGCGUUAUCCGGAAUCAUUGGGUUUAAAGGGUCCGUAGGCGGUUUAAUAAGUCAGUGGUGAAAUCUGGUCGCUCAACGAUCAAACGGCCAUUGAUACUGUUAGACUUGAAUUAUAAGGAAGUAACUAGAAUAUGUAGUGUAGCGGUGAAAUGCUUAGAUAUUACAUGGAAUACCAAUUGCGAAGGCAGGUUACUACUUAUGGAUUGACGCUGAUGGACGAAAGCGUGGGGAGCGAACAGGAUUAGAUACCCUGGUAGUCCACGCCGUAAACGAUGGAUACUAGCUGUUGGGCGCAAGUUCAGUGGCUAAGCGAAAGUGAUAAGUAUCCACCUGGGGAGUACGUUCGCAGAAUGAAACUCAAAGGAAUUGACGG
rnacentral:rRNA from 1 species